rnacentral:rRNA from 1 species
CAUGGCUGUCGUCAGCUCGUGUCGUGAGAUGUUGGGUUAAGGUCCCGCAACGAGCGCAACCCCUCGCAUUCAGUUGCCAUCGGGUAAUGCCGGGCACUCUGGAAGGACUGCCAUCGACAAGAUGGAGGAAGGUGGGGAGUGACGUCAAGUCAUCAUGGCCCUUAUGUCCAGGGCGACACACGUGCUACAAUGGCCGGCACAACGGGAAGCGAGUUCGCGAGGACGAGCGGAUCCCUCAAAGCCGGUCGCAGUUCGGAUUGAAGUCUGCAACUCGACUUCAUGAAGCUGGAAUCGCUAGUAAUCGUGGAUCAGCCAAGCCGCGGUGAAUACGUUCCCGGGCCUU